GGCUAACGCUGGCGGCGUGUCUUAGCCAUGCAAGUCGAGCGGACUUAUGGGGUAACUUAUAAGUCAGCGGCGGACGGCGGAGUAACACGUAGCUAACCUACCCUCUGGACGGGGAUAACCUACCGAAAGGUGGGCUAAUACCCGAUGUAGUCAUCCUGUAUAGGGGUGAUGAAAGGUGGGCUUCUGUUUACAAGCUCAUGCUGGAGGAGGGGGCUGCGGCCUAUCAGGUAGUUGGUAGGGUAAUAGCCUACCAAGCCGAUGACGGGUAGCCGGCCUGAGAGGGUGACCGGCCCGAGGGGCACUGAGAUACGGGUCCCACUCCUACGGGAGGCAGCAGGCUAGAAAUUUGGGCAAUGGGGGAAACCCUGACCCAGUGACGCCGCGUGCAGGAAGGAGCCCUUCGGGGUGUAAACUGCUGUCGUGUAGGGAGAAGGGUACUAAGGUGAACAAUCUUAGUACUUGACGGUACUAACAGGAGGAAGCCCAGGCUAACCUCGUGCCAGCAGCCGCGGUAAGAUAGCGUACU
rnacentral:rRNA from 1 species